ACUCAAAGGAAUAGACGGGGGCCCGCACAAGCAGCGGAGCGUGUGGUUUAAUUCGAGGCUACGCGAAGAACCUUACCCAGGUUUGACAUGCAGGUAGUAGGGAAGUGAAAGCGGACCGAUCCUUCGGGAAGCCUGUACAGGUGAUGCAUGGCUGUCGUCAGCUCGUGCCGUGAGGUGUUUGGUUAAGUCCAGUAACGAGCGCAACCCUUAGGGUCAGUUAUAUGUGUCUGGCCCGACUGCCGGUCUUAAGCCGGAGGAAGGUGGGGAUGACGUCAAGUCAGCAUGUCCUUUAUAUCUGGGGCUACACACACGCUACAAUGGGUAAUACAAUGGGUCGCCAACCCGCGAGGGGGAGCCAAUCCUACAAAAUUACCCUCAGUUCAGAUCGCAGGCUGCAACUCGCCUGCGUGAAGUCGGAGUUGCUAGUAAACGCAGGACAGCUAUACUGCGUUGAAUACGUUCCCGGGCCUUGUACACACCGCCCGU
rnacentral:rRNA from 1 species